rnacentral:rRNA from 1 species
GACGAACGCUGGCGGCGUGCUUAACACAUGCAAGUCGAGCGGUAAGGCCUUUCGGGGUACACGAGCGGCGAACGGGUGAGUAACACGUGGGUGAUCUGCCCUGCACUUCGGGAUAAGCCUGGGAAACUGGUCUAAUACCGGAUAUGACCUCCUAUCGCAUGGUGGGUGGUGGAAAGAUUUAUCGGUGCAGGAUGGGCCCGCGGCCUAUCAGCUUGUUGGUGGGGUAAUGGCCUACCAAGGCGACGACGGGUAGCCGACCUGAGAGGGUGACCGGCCACACUGGGACUGAGACACGGCCCAGACUCCUACGGGAGGCAGCAGUGGGGAAUAUUGCACAAUGGGCGAAAGCCUGAUGCAGCGACGCCGCGUGAGGGAUGACGGCCUUCGGGUUGUAAACCUCUUUCAGCAGGGACGAAGCGCAAGUGACGGUACCUGCAGAAGAAGCACCGGCUAACUACGUG